AGCAAGGUCCCUUUAGGAGACCAGGUCGAAUAUUAGCGAGUUUUGCCAAAAUUCUUCUUCAGAUAUUUUGACAUAAGCGGGUGGGGGUCUUAGGUUUACAACACUGGUUUUAUGUGUAUAGUCAAUGUGUCAUAAUGCAUAACAAAAUAAUGAUGGUAAAAUAUACAUAUUACUCAAAUCAUUGGUACGAAAUUGUUAUUAUUUUAUCGAUGUAAAAUUUGUUUGAAGCAUGCAAAUAUUUAAACAUGGGAUUUAACUUCUCUCUAUCUCUCUUUUUGCCUUAACGUCCUCUAAGGCCAGCCAGCCAUUUUUGACUUAUUAAACUUAUUUUUACCACGUAGUCGGAUAAUCAGUCCUUGCUACGUUUCGGAUUAGAUGUAAACUUAUUUUACUUUAAUUGAUGCAUGCACAGGGGGUGCAGUAGAAAGCUUCUUUUCCAGAUGGGGUGUUACGCUAUACCUGAAGAUGUGAUAUGCGUUUUCUUUUUUAUGCUGUAUAUGGCAUUUAUAGGUAUACAUGUUUGGGGCUUUCAAGAAUAACUUUAACAAGAUCAACCAUAUCGAACGUACCCUCCAGCCACAUUAUCCCUUCAACAUUUUUACCUAAAAUGAAAAUAGCGUUGCAAUUUAAACAGUCAGUGUAUCUUUGCUUAGGUAUUUGGUAUGCUGUCAAACGCCCCCACCCUUGUCAAACGAUGUCUUUUUAUUUUACGUCUUCUUGAAUGUCAAAAUGCUCUACAUUCCACCACCUGGUCUUUUUAAAUAGCCUUGGCUCGCAGCAUGAAAACGUCAAAAUCUGACAGCAAAAUUGUCGAAACAGGCAGCAUAAAAUUACAUUUUUAACCACUUUGCGGCCACAAAAUUAGCAAACUACCCAGCGGUCAAGCUUUCAUGCGUUUCACCUCGUUUCAUCCCCUUCCAACCCUCGUUGGCCUAUACUUUUGCGUGUCAACACAAGCUAUCUCUGUUUUUUCGUUCGUCAAGCAUGUUCUUGUCUCGCUCUUUUCACACUUUGCCGAAGUUCGACGUGCUCCGCGUUGUGUAUUUACACACCGAGCUCAUGGAAUAUCUUUGUGUGUGUAGAAAACCAUUUUGACAGUACCGUCAUUCUUCGGCCGUCAUAUUUUGUGUUGCUUUCGAAGUGCAAGGUUUGGCUAGUUUAUUGCAUAGAACAGGGAGAUAAAAUGGUUAUAAAAGGGUAAAAAUGGCUUCGAAUCAAAAGAGCACGCGUUUUUCAAGUGACUGGAUAGUUUAGUUAGGGAUAGGGAGUGAAAAAACACUUGGAAAUAAGGAGGAUACUUGACCAGCGUGCCUCCGGAACAAAGUGGUGCUGAAACUGUUUCAUGGCUGCUGAGAGUCUGGUACAUCCGAAACAAUUUAUUGGCACGGACCGCAGAAAACCACGCUAACACAGUGUACGAAGUACCAUGCAGAGAGGACAACAUUUUACACCUCGUAAACCAACACAUUUGCCCGCACUUUCCAGCAAGUGAAGUGUAAGCGAGAAAUUUGUGAAUAAAAUUAUAAUAAUAAAAAAAAACAUUUAGAGGUCGGACCGGUGGUGCAUGUGAAAAACGGCGCCCGUCCACACGGCAGGGACCGGGUUCAAAUCCCAUCCGGACCGUCUCCCCGUAGCAUGGACUGACUAUCCUGCUACGUGGUAAAAUAAGUCUUGAUACGGCCAGGCCGUUCUAACCGAACAAAAAAAAAAAAAAAAAAAAAAAAAAUUUCAUUUUAUGUCCUUUUUAAUUGAUGACAACUUUCCACUAUGCAUAGCCAAUAACGCAACCAUACCUACGCGGCGCUACACACUAACACAUGCGCAAAAAAGUUCGGCUAAAGUCUGAAACACGACCCCACCCCCCACUCACGGUCACUCAUCUGCGUGUCAAUUUUUCGUACAGGGUGGUUCGGAGACUAUGCAAUGUGGCCUGAGUUUGAUUUUUUUUACAAUUACUAUUAAA